rfam:Aspergillus rambellii strain SRRC1468 contig00440, whole genome shotgun sequence.
GCCCGGCUAGCUCAAUCGGCAGAGCGUGAGACUUUUAAUCUCAAGGUUGUGAGUUCGACCCUCACGUCGGGCG